rnacentral:rRNA from 1 species
UACGUAGGGCGCAAGCGUUGUCCGGAAUUAUUUGGGCGUAAAGAGCUCGUAGGCGGCUUGUCGCGUCGAUUUGUGAAAGCCCGGGGCUUAACCUCGGGUCUGCAGUCGAUACGGGCUGGCUAGAGUGUGGUAGGGGGAGAUCGGAAUUCCUGGUGUAGCGGUGAAAAUGCGCAGAUAUCAGGAGGAACACCGGUGGCGAAGGCGGAUCUCUGGGCCAUUACUGACGCUGAGGAGCGAAAAGCGUGGGGGAGCGAACAGG